GCCGUAGCCCAGUGGGACAGCCCUGGCUUCACAUGCAGAAAGUCCCAGGUUCAAGUCCUGGCAUCUCCA